rnacentral:misc_RNA from 1 species
GUGAAUCAUCAAAUUUUUGAACGCAAAUUGCACUCCCUGGUAUUCCGGGGAGUAUGCCUGUUUGAGGGUCGUUAGAACAAAAAUCUAAGCAUCGCUCUUUUUUUUUAGGGGUGAUCGCGUCGGAAUUUAGCCGUCUUGCAAGUGUUAAUUCAUGUCAAAGUAUCUUGAACUUCAUCCAUCCGAUACUAUUAAAGCGUAUUUAAGAUCAACUUUGAUUAAAGACUCGCUGUGAACGUACCAGCUCAGUUUGUACUUUUGACUUGACUUCUUCAG